AUGCGCCUGUGCCAGCUCCCUCCCACGGCAUCGCAGAGCUCGCAGGAAAGCCAGCAAGGGGCUUGUGCUGGGCUGCAGCUCCUGCCCUGGCCCUGCUCCUGCCCCUGUCCCCUCUCUGCCCCUGCCCUUCAUUCCCAUUCCUACCCUUUUCUUUUUCCCCUUUUCCCCCAUCUGGGAUCUGGAGCUCUCACCAUCCCUCUGGAAUGCAGCUGCAGGAGUGAGGAUGGAGGGCUGGAAGCAGCAGGGAGGGCCACAGGGCCCGUGGGGACAGCCCUGGGAGCUCCUUGCAGCUGUUCCCUGUUGUCCCUGGGUGCCCAGCGGGUGCCCAGGCUGGCACUGUGCCCGUGGGCACCCUGGCAUGGGACAGCACAGCCAGGAGCAAACACAGGUGUAGAGAAUGGGCAGAGGGAAGGGCAGGGAGCGUUUCCAGGCUCUUUGUGCUGCUCUCACAUCUCAGUCCAGACUCCUUUGUGCUUGGAGAUCCACAUGCACCAAACCAGAUGGAUUUCCCACCAGGCUGCCUUAAUCUCCAGCAUCUCGGCCCUUGAUCCCGAGCAGGCAAAACGUGUGUGGGGCUUCAGCUGCUGCAAAAUGCACUUUAUCUGCUGCUGUGGGGCUGUGCUGCACGGCAGCGCCUCCUGGGAAACGCUGCGAGAUUCCUUCCUCAUUCCCAUUCCCCUUCCCCAGCCUUUAUUACAGAAAAGAAACACUCUUAAGGGAAGGGAGGGUGGACAGCGGGCACUCACUGGCACUUCUGGUGCUCCUUGGUGUGCCUGGUGCUCCUUGGCACUUCUGGUGCUCCUUGGCUGUGCCAGGUGCGCCUUGGUGUCCCCGUGGCCGCAGGGCAGGGGACAGAGCUGGCUGUGUGUGCAGGGCUGUUCCUUUUGGCACUCCCUGGCAGGGCUGUUCUGUGUCCCUGGGGGGGUUCUGGGGUGCCCGGGGUACCCCUGUGCCGGCUCUCUCUGCGAGGGAGCCCUGGGGCCCCGUGAGCAUCCUCAGCCAAGCAGGAUCCCUAAAUAG
rnacentral:lncRNA from 1 species